UAGGAAUCUGCCUAUUAGUGGGGGACAACAUUCCGAAAGGAAUGCUAAUACCGCAUACGUCCUACGGGAGAAAGCAGGGGAUCUUCGGACCUUGCGCUAAUAGAUGAGCCUAAGUCGGAUUAGCUAGUUGGUGGGGUAAAGGCCUACCAAGGCGACGAUCUGUAGCGGGUCUGAGAGGAUGAUCCGCCACACUGGGACUGAGACACGGCCCAGACUCCUACGGGAGGCAGCAGUGGGGAAUAUUGGACAAUGGGGGGAACCCUGAUCCAGCCAUGCCGCGUGUGUGAAGAAGGCCUUAUGGUUGUAAAGCACUUUAAGCGAGGAGGAGGCUACUGAGACUAAUACUCUUGGAUAGUGGACGUUACUCGCAGAAUAAGCACCGGCUAACUCUGUGCCAGCAGCCGCGGUAAAACAGAGGGUGCGAGCGUUAAUCGGAUUUACUGGGCGUAAAGCGUGCGUAGGCGGCUUUUUAAGUCGGAUGUGAAAUCCCCGAGCUUAACUUGGGAAUUGCAUUCGAUACUGGGAAGCUAGAGUAUGGGAGAGGAUGGUAGAAUUCCAGGUGUAGCGGUGAAAUGCGUAGAGAUCUGGAGGAAUACCGAUGGCGAAGGCAGCCAUCUGGCCUAAUACUGACGCUGAGGUACGAAAGCAUGGGGAGCAAACAGGAUUAGAUACCCUGGUAGUCCAUGCCGUAAACGAUGUCUACUAGCCGUUGGG
rnacentral:rRNA from 1 species